UGAGACAAUGCAUCCUUGUUUUUCUUCCAGUGCUCCACACAAGCCCAGUUAGGCUGUUGGCAUGUACCGCCCCUCUUGGUCUGUCAUUGGACAGUGGAUUCCAUCAGAGUGAGGAUGGAGGGCUGUCUAAGCAGCCUGCAGCUUGUCACUUCUCAGGGAGUGGUUUGGGCUUCUCCAUCGAUGAUGGUCUCAUUCAUGUGGGCUCUGAGAUGACUUACAAGAAAACAUUUGAUAAGAGUCAUAAUAAAAUAUAAAUAAGAACAGCGAGGGAAGACACUCUUCACACUAGGACGAUGCAUUUCCCGGAUCCUGUGACCCUUCUGAACCACACUUCCCUCCAUUGCUCAAUCCUUGGGUGCAGAGAGGUCUCACAGUCACACGAUCUAAGGACAACACACAGCAGCCUCCUGCUCCGUGUGCCUCCUGCAGCUUCCAGGUGUGACCUUUUUGAAGUAGGCGUGGCACUGUGGGUGUGAGCUUUAAGACCUUCAUCCUAGCUGCC